rnacentral:rRNA from 1 species
UACGGGGGGGAGCAAGCGUUUGUUCGGAUUUACUGGGCGUAAAGGGCGCGUAGGCGGUCGUGACAAGUCACUUGUGAAAUCUCCGGGCUUAACUCGGAACGGUCAAGUGAUACUGUCGGACUAGAGUAUAGUAGGGGUAAAGGGAAUUUCCAGUGGAGCGGUGAAAUGCGUAGAGAUUGGAAAGAACACCGAUGGCGAAGGCACUUUACUGGGCUAUUACUAACACUCAGAGACGAAAGCUAGGGUAGCAAAUGGGAUUAGAAACCCCCAG